GAUGAAGAACGCAGCGAAAUGCGAUACGUAAUGUGAAUUGUAGAAUUCAGUGAAUCAUCGAGUCUUUGAACGCACAUUGCGCCCCCUGGUAUUCCGGGGGGCAUGCCUGUCCGAGCGUCAUUACAACCCUCAAGCUCAGCUUGGUGUUGGGCCCCGCCGCCCCGGCGGGCCCUAAAGUCAGUGGCGGUGCCGUCCGGCUCCGAGCGUAGUAAUUCUUCUCGCUCUGGAGGUCCGGUCGUGUGCUCGCCAGCAACCCCCAAUUUUUUUCAGGUUGACCUCGGAUCAGGUAGGGAUACCCGCUGAACUUAAGCAUAUCAAUAAGCGGAGGA
rnacentral:misc_RNA from 1 species